GUCAAAAUUGAUUUUAAGCUGAAGUGGUUUAUGUUUGGAUAUAUUCAUGAAAAAGUGAGUUGAACAAAAAAUUUGAGUGUAAAAAUCAAUUUUAGAAUCAGAAGCUACGAUUUCUAGCUUCAAAUAGAAUCAAUUCUGGAGGCAGAAUCAAUUCUACUUUUGAGAAACCAAACAAGUCAGAAUCAAUUCUACACGUUCAUAAUCAAUUCUGGAUGCUCCAGAAUUGAAACCAAA
rnacentral:lncRNA from 1 species